rnacentral:lncRNA from 1 species
UUCCCAUCCCUGGGAUAUGUUAGCAUGCAAAGCAGCGCAGAGUGCGCAAGACUGCUCCAGCUAUUUGAAAUAAACCUGGAAGGGACCAGAACUGAAUCGGAAAUCCAAGUCUUUGUGUGGGGAUUGAUUGACGCACUCAGGACCAGAAUGCUGACAGAUCACAUGAACUCUUCCGCUCUGACUGUGGUUUGCAGCCUCUCAUUGCACUGUCAUUUUCACCACUGUGUUUCCCGCCGCGUUUCCUCCAGCACAGCUCUGUCUUCAGGUUUCUUUUAUCCGGUUCUGAUUUCCCUACUGCAGAUUGCCUCUGGGAGGCUGAUUCCCAUUUUCCAGAACCUUGGACCAGUACACACCAGGAAAGGAAGAGACACCACCUGCACCCACUGGAAGAAGAGAUGGGAAGACGACAAUAUAAG